UACGUAGGGUGCAAGCGUUGUCCGGAAUUAUUGGGCGUAAAGAGCUCGUAGGCGGCCUGUCGCGUCGGUUGUGAAAGCCCGGGGCUCAACCCCGGGUCUGCAGUCGAUACGGGCAGGCUAGAGUUCGGUAGGGGAGAUCGGAAUUCCUGGUGUAGCGGUGAAAUGCGCAGAUAUCAGGAGGAACACCGGUGGCGAAGGCGGCUUGCUGGGCCUUACCUGACGCUGAGGAGCGAAAGCGUGGGGAGCGAACAGG
rnacentral:rRNA from 1 species